GAUGAACGCUGGCGGCGUGCCUAAUACAUGCAAGUCGAGCGAACGGACGAGAAGCUUGCUUCUCUGAUGUUAGCGGCGGACGGGUGAGUAACACGUGGAUAACCUACCUAUAAGACUGGGAUAACUUCGGGAAACCGGAGCUAAUACCGGAUGAUAUUUUGAACCGCAUGGUUCAAAAGUGAAAGACGGUCUUGCUGUCACUUAUAGAUGGAUCCGCGCUGCAUUAGCUAGUUGGUAAGGUAACGGCUUACCAAGGCAACGAUGCAUAGCCGACCUGAGAGGGUGAUCGGCCACACUGGAAGUUGGACACCGUCCCGGCUCCUGCGGGAGGCCGCAGAAGCGAACCUUCCGCAGUGGGCGAAAGCCUGGCGGAGCGACGCCGAGUGAGUGAUAGAGGUCUUCGGAUCGUAAAGCUGUGUUAUUAGGGAAGAACAUAUGUGUAAGUAGCUGUACACAUCUUGACGGUACCUAAACAGAAAGCCACGGCUAACUACGUG
rnacentral:rRNA from 1 species